ensembl:lncRNA
CUGAGGUCUGUUAGGAUGGGUAGUUACUUACCAAGCCUGGUUGGCCAGGAGGGAAUCUGUGUUCCUUUUGCUUGUCACAUGCCACAGAACCAUUCCUGCAAAGCCAUGCUUACUGUAAGGCUCCUUUGUUGUUAAAGGCCCAUCCUGUGCAUUCCUGCUACAGCUGUGAACCAAGGGUGCACUACAGCUUCUGGAUUCUAGAGAGCAGGAAAUAGUUGCACACUGAAGACUGCGUAAAUAUGAAAGUUUCUGCUACAGAAAAAGAGAACACUGAAAAGUUUCUAAGUGAAACAGAAAACCAAAGUGGAGAACCCAGAAGUGUGAGGAAGCAAAGGAAAGGUUCCAGCUGGGUUCUGUCAGAGGGUGGCUUGACCACAGUACAAAUGAAGGAAUUAAACCCAGGAUCUUCUAUAGCCUAAACUUACACUCCCGCCUCUGACUUACAUUCUCACCCACUGCUGAUUUUUUGAGGACCAACAGAGAUCCAGUGAAACCGGAGGCCAACUGGGGAAUGACCUGAUUGUGUCCAUGUAAGCUCUGCAAGAAGCUGGAGGAGGAGCUGGAGGCUGCCAUGACUACAAGAAAAGACACAGCAUCAAAGUCAGGGUGCCAAGGUUUGUGGAAAUCUGGAACCCAGUGGGUAAGAAUGGCUGACCUCAUAACACUCGAAAUGUAAAUAAGAAAUACUCAAG